rnacentral:tRNA from 1 species
UGCCCCAUGGUGUAAUGGUAGCACAGCUGGUUUUGAUCCAGCCAGUCCAAGUUCAAAUCUUGGUGGGGCAA